rnacentral:rRNA from 1 species
GAUGAACGCUGGCGGCGUGCCUAAUACAUGCAAGUCGAGCGAACAGACGAGGAGCUUGCUCCUCUGACGUUAGCGGCGGACGGGUGAGUAACACGUGGAUAACCUACCUAUAAGACUGGGAUAACUUCGGGAAACCGGAUCUAAUACCGGAUAAUAUAUUGAACCGCAUUGUUCAAUAGUGAAAGACGGUUGUGCUGUCACUUAUAGAGGGAUCCGCGCCGCAUUAGGUAGUUGGUAAGGUCACGGCUUACCAAGGCAACGAUGCGUAAGCGACCUGAGAGGGGGAUCGGCCACAUGGGAACUGAGACACGGUCCAGACUCCUACGGGAGGCAGCAGUCGCGAAUCUUCCGCAAUGGGCGAAAGCCUGACGGAGUAACGCCGAGUGAGUGAUGAAGGUCUUCCGAUCGUAAAGAUCUGUUAUUAGGGAAGAACAAAUGUGUAAGUAACUAUGCACGUAUUGACGGUACCUAAUCAGAAAGCCACGGCUAACUACGUG